ACUUUAAUGUCUACUUGACAUUGUCGGACUCGUGCCUUUGUAAAAUGUCGGCAAAAGUCGUAAUUUUUCUUGUGAUUAUUUAUGCAGCAGAUGAAGUGAGUUCGACUGUUUUCAAGGACUGUGGUUCCGUUUCGGGGAAAAUUUCAUCCGUGGACGUAUCGGGCUGUACGACAGAGCCCUGCAUUUUUUAUUCUGGCACAAACGAGACACUUACCGCAAAUUUUACAUCAAAUGUGGUAUCUAACAAGCCAACAACUGUUAUAACAGGAAUCAUUUCGAAUCUUCCCGUUCCUUUUCCCGCAGAGAAGGAUACAUGUGCCCAUCAAACACAGUGCCCUAUACAAGCAGGAAAGCAAAGUGUUUUUACGAUUACACUACCUGUUCUUAAAUCAUAUCCUCACGUAAGUUAUGGCAUGUUGUCAGUCAUGGAUUUACAAUGUUGCUUUAAUUUGCAGAAUGUAUUGAAACUUACUCCGUAAAUUUAAAAUUAACAAUAUGUCUUGUUUUUAUUAUACUCCCACUUUCUAAAGAAAUCUUGGGUAUAUUUUUGUUACCCUUGUCCGUCUGUCCGUAACGUUUAACAUGGUGCAAUUGACGUUUCUUUACAAAAAGAUAUGGUUUUCAGAAUCCUCUUACAAUAUAUGCAGUAGCGACUACAUACCGGUAUGUAAUAUUUUGGGUUAUGUUAGCGGAUGUCCUAUAGUUGUUCAAUAAAGUCCUCAACAUUUAAAUUUCAUCCUUGGAGUCAACAGAAAAUUGACAGUUAACACUUUACAAAAACCUAUUUCCCAGAACUCCUCCUAUGAUUUAAUGAAUAGCCACAUUAUAUCUAUGGAUAGAUAAGGGCUGUCGUAUAGAUGUGCAUUAAGGUUAAAAAUAUCUAAAUUUUAUCCUGGUAGUCAAAUAGUAGUCGAAAAUAAACGUUUAUCUCUCCUUUAACUGUAAAUAUAAUGACGAGUUCUUUUUAUUCAGAUAAGAAAACCUUUCAAAUAUAUUUUUCAUUGUCAAAUGAUCUAUUUAAACUUAAUUAUGACUCGUGGUCUAAAAUCAUUAACAUAUAUUUCUUCUAUUUUUUUUUCUCUUUUUUAUGUGCCACAAGUUAUUGAUAACAAUUGGCCUGGUAAACAUUUUUGAUUAAAAAAAAUAUGCGGUUAUAUAUUGAUAGAUCCUUUAAAUUCCGUAAAUUUAAUACUUUGUUAUUUGCUUCAAUGCGUUAUAACUUAUGGUGUAAUUUAAUUAACAUUAGACCUGUAAAACCGCUCCUCCACGGUAAAUUACGCUUGAAUAGCUUAUCGUACAGCAGGCAUGUUCACAAAGCUAUCUUAGAACUGUGGUGUGUUCUAAGUACAUUUUUAAGUACAUUUUAUUUAUUUACAUGUUUUCUAUCAUGUACGUUCAUUUUAACAUUAAUAUGGGCAAAUAGAACCGAACUCUCACCCCUUUCCCCGUUGCUACAUUUGCAUUAAAAAAAAAAUAAUUUUUUGUAGAUAAGCCUUUUGGUGAAAGGUGAAGUUCGUGACGACAAUGGAAAGGAUAUCAUGUGUUUUGUGUUCCCUGCACAAAUAAAGCCGAAAGACUG
rnacentral:misc_RNA from 1 species